rnacentral:rRNA from 1 species
UACGUAGGGGGCAAGCGUUGUCCGGAUUUAUUGGGCGUAAAGCGCGUGUAGGCGGCUUUGCAAGUCGGGUGUGAAAUCCCUCAGCUCAACUGAGGAAGUGCGCCCGAAACUGCAGAGCUUGAGUACCGGAGAGGAUGGUGGAAUUCCCCAAGUAGAGGUGAAAUUCGUAGAUAUGGGGAGGAACACCGGUGGCGAAGGCGACCAUCUGGACGGAUACUGACGCUGAGACGCGAAAGCGUGGGUAGCAAACAGG